AAAGGCCAGUACUGAAUCCAUCAAUCUGUUUCCCGUGGGUAGUUGGCUGCGGUGGCUCACACGUGUCGACCUCCAGGAAUAGCGUGCCUGCACGGCGGUUUUCAGGCACUCGUCAUCUACUCUAUCCGUUUCCAGGGGGUUUACUGCCUUGUCUCAGCUUGACCCCGAUCGAGUCGCCGGUUUUCACCUUGGUUCUAUCUCCUCAGUCGGAUCAGCCUCGACAUGUCCAGUUGUCUACUUUUCAGCAGCAACCGGAGAGACAACUGCCUCGCGCGGAAUGGUAGAUUCGUGUGACCGAAGCCAGCUCGCGCAGAUAAACGGGAGAGCUUUAUUCUUCGAUCCUCCAAAGUACAGCACUACAGCAUGCUAGGCGGUGACCUUUA